UAGCUAAGAGGUUAAAGCGUCUGCCUGGAAUGCAGAAGACAGGGGUUCGAUCCCU
rnacentral:tRNA from 1 species